rnacentral:rRNA from 1 species
CCUACGGGGAGCUGCAGUGGGGGAUAUUGCACAAUGGGGGAAACCCUGAUGCAGCGACGCCGCGUGUGGGAAGACGGUCCUCUGGAUUGUAAACCACUGUCCCCAGGGACGAAGAUGACGGUACCUGGGGAGGAAGCUCCGGCUAACUACGUGCCAGCAGCCGCGGUAAUACGUAGGGAGCGAGCGUUGUCCGGAAUUACUGGGUGUAAGGGGAGCGUAGGCGGGACUGCAAGUUGGGUGUCAAAUCUACCGGCUCAACCGGUAGCCGCACUCAAAACUGCAGUUCUUGAGUGAAGUAGAGGCAGGCGGAAUUCCUAGUGUAGCGGUGAAAUGCGUAGAUAUUAGGAGGAACACCAGUGGCGAAGGCGGCCUGCUGGGCUUUUACUGACGCUGAGGCUCGAAAGUGUGGGGAGCAAACAGGAUUAGAUACCCGUGUAGUC